rnacentral:rRNA from 1 species
GAUGAACGCUGGCGGCGUGCCUAAUACAUGCAAGUCGAGCGAACAGACGAGGAGCUUGCUCCUCUGACGUUAGCGGCGGACGGGUGAGUAACACGUGGAUAACCUACCUAUAAGACUGGGAUAACUUCGGGAAACCGGAGCUAAUACCGGAUAAUAUAUUGAACCGCAUGGUUCAAUAGUGAAAGACGGUUUUGCUGUCACUUAUAGAUGGAUCCGCGCCGCAUUAGCUAGUUGGUAAGGUAACGGCUUACCAAGGCAACGAUGCGUAUCCGACCGGUGAGGGUGAUCGGCCACACGGGAACUGAGACACGGUCCAGACUCCUACGGGAGGCAGCAGUAGGGAAUCUUCCGCAAUGGGCGAAAGCUUGACGGAGCAACGCCGCGUGAGUGAUGAAGGUCCUCGGAGCGGAAAACUCUGUUAUUAGGGAAGAACAAAUUUGUAAUUUACUAUGCACGUCUUGACGGUACCGAAUCAGAAAGCCACGGCUAACUACGUG